rnacentral:tRNA from 1 species
GAGAUAUUAGAAAAACUAUUUCAUGGCCUUGUCAAAGCCAGGUUAUAGGUCAAACCCUAUAUAUCUUA